rnacentral:lncRNA from 1 species
AAAUCUGCCUGUUGCAGCAGUAGGGGGAUUGUUUGCUUGCUGCUCUGAAUUCAUUGCUCAGAACUCCAUUUGCAGCCAUCUUCAUGAUGAGAAAAAAAAAAAAAGAAAAAAAAAUCCAGUUCUGAUUCUGUCCAAGCUUGCCCAAAUGCUGCCAUUUUCUCUUGCUUUCGACAAUCUGUGGGCUCUUCUGCAGAGUCCUCACAGCCAUACCAGUGCUGGACCCUGCCCUCGGUGAGACUGCUGUGAUGAGCUGGGAUUAAGACUCAAGUUUAUUUGCAUUGCAAACCGGGCUAUCAUGAGGACUUUUAAGAGACAGUACAGGAUGGAUGUAGAGUGGAGGAUCUGCCAUCUCCCCCUGCUUGUUUUAAAAGAAUAGUCAGGACCACUGUCAUGAGGAUUUCAGCUCAUCUGUGGACCAACAAAAGUAAGCGGUAAAACCAAUACUGAAAGGCAUGUUCCCAAACAGUCUGGGCUUGAUUAAUUCCCAUUUGUGCCUUGGAAAGCCCAGGAAGAGAGCUACCUGUAUCUGUAUGCAUGCACCAUACACAGGAGUCUAGAGGACAAGCCAAUCACAGUGGAAGAAUCUAAGCCAUCAUUUCCUUCUUCUGAUGCUGCUGAAGUGCUGGUAUCCUCCUGUGCUACUAAGCUCUAAGAAAACAUUCUCAUUAGUCCAGUCAGAAUUAGCGCGCAUGUGGGUGUAUGCAAGGUGGAUGUACACAAGAAACACAAGGAUCUCUACAGCAGCCCCCUGCGUGAGAAAUUCACCCAAGCUGAGCAAGGCCCAGUGA